rnacentral:rRNA from 1 species
CCUACGGGUGGCAGCAGUGAGGAAUAUUGGUCAAUGGGCGCGAGCCUGAACCAGCCAAGUAGCGUGAGGGAAGACUGUCCUAUGGAUUGUAAACCUCUUUUGUCGGGGAGCAAAAGACGCCACGCGUGGCGUUCCGAGAGUACCCGAAGAAAAAGCAUCGGCUAACUCCGUGCCAGCAGCCGCGGUAAUACGGAGGAUGCGAGCGUUAUCCGGCUUUAUUGGGUUUAAAGGGUGCGCAGGGGGAAGAUAAAGUCAGCGGUAAAAUUGAGGGGCUCAACCUCUUCGAGCCGUUGAGACUGGUUGUCUUGAGUGCAUGAGAAGUAGGCGGAAUGCGUGGUGUAGCGGUGAAAUGCAUAGAUAGCACGAAGUACUCCGAUUGCGAAGGCAGCAUAC